rnacentral:rRNA from 1 species
ACGCUCGACACCUAAGGCAGCAGUGGGGAAUAUUGCACAAUGGGGGAAACCCUGAUGCAGCGACGCCGCGUGAAGGAAGAAGUAUCUCGGUAUGUAAACUUCUAUCAGCAGGGAAGAAAAUGACGGUACCUGACUAAGAAGCCCCGGCUAACUACGUGCCAACAGCCGCGGUAAUCUGAGCGGGCUGGCAAGGC